UACGAAGGGGGCUAGCGUUGUUCGGAAUUACUGGGCGUAAAGCGCGCGCAGGCGGUCUUCCAAGUCAGUGGUGAAAGCCUGGAGCUCAACUCCAGAACUGCCAUUGAAACUGUUAGACUUGAGUACGAGAGAGGUGAGUGGAAUUCCCAGUGUAGAGGUGAAAUUCGUCGAUAUUGGGAAGAACACCAGUGGCGAAGGCGGCUCACUGGCUCGUAACUGACGCUCAGGCGCGACAGCGUGGGGAUCAAACAGG
rnacentral:rRNA from 1 species